rnacentral:rRNA from 1 species
GUUAUAUGGUCAAGCGAAUAAGCGCACACGGUGGAUGCCUUGGCGGUCAGAGGCGAUGAAGGACGUGGCAGCCUGCGAAAAGUAUCGGGGAGCUGGCAACAAGCUUUGAUCCGGUAAUGUCCGAAUGGGGAAACCCACCCGCUUGCGGGUAUCCUGCAGUGAAUACAUAGCUGCUGGAAGCGAACCUGGUGAACUGAAAUAUCUAAGUAACCAGAGGAAAAGAAAUCAACCGAGAUUCCGUAAGUAGCGACGAGCGAACGCGGACUAGCCCUUAAGCUGAUUUGGUUCUAGGAAAACGCUCUGGAAAGAGCGGCCAUAGAAGGUGAUAGCCCUGUAUCUGAAAGGGCCAUUUCAGUGAAGACGAGUAGGGCGGGGCACGUGAAACCCUGUCUGAACAUGGGGGGACCAUCCUCCAAGGCUAAAUACUACUGACCGACCGAUAGUGAACCAGUACCGUGAGGGAAAGGCGAAAAGAACCCCGGAGAGGGGAGUGAAAUAGAUCCUGAAACCGUGUGCGUACAAGCAGUAGGAGCUCCGCAAGGAGUGACUGCGUACCUUUUGUAUAAUGGGUCAGCGACUUACUGUUCGUGGCAAGCUUAACCGUAUAGGGGAGGCGAAGGGAAACCGAGUCUGAUAAGGGCGCAUAGUCGCGGGCAGUAGACCCGAAACCGGGUGAUCUAGUCAUGGCCAGGGUGAAGGUGCCGUAACAGGUACUGGAGGCCCGAACCCACGUCUGUUGCAAAAGACGGGGAUGAGCUGUGAUUAGGAGUGAAAAGCUAAUCGAACCCGGAGAUAGCUGGUUCUCCUCGAAAGCUAUUUAGGUAGCGCCUCAUAUGUAUCCUCUCGGGGGUAGAGCACUGUUAUGGCUAGGGGGUCAUCGCGACUUACCAAACCAUUGCAAACUCCGAAUACCGAGACGGACUGUAUGGGAGACACACGGCGGGUGCUAACGUCCGUCGUGAAAAGGGAAACAACCCAGACCCACAGCUAAGGUCCCAAAUUCACUGCUAAGUGGAAAACCAUGUGGAAAGGCACAGACAGCCAGGAGGUUGGCUUAGAAGCAGCCACCCUUUAAAGAAAGCGUAAUAGCUCACUGGUCGAGUCGGUCUGCGGGGAAGAUUUAACGGGGCUAAGCAGUGAACCGAAGCUUGGGGUGUGCAUAUUUAUAUGUACGCGGUAGAGGAGCGUUCCGUAAGCCGUUGAAGGUGGAUUGAGAAGUCUGCUGGAGGUAUCGGAAGUGCGAAUGCUGACAUGAGUAACGAUAAUGCGGGUGAAAAACCCGCACGCCGAAAGCCCAAGGUUUCCUUGCGCAACGUUAAUCGGCGCAGGGUGAGUCGGCCCCUAAGGCGAGGACGAAAGUCGUAGUCGAUGGAAAGCAGGUUAAUAUUCCUGCACCUCGCGUAAGUGCGAUGGAGGGACGGAGAAGGUUAGGUGUACCAGGCGUUGGUUGUCCUGGGGAAAGGCGGUAGGUUUGGAUCUUUGGCAAAUCCGGGAUCCUUUAAGACCGAGCACCGAGACGAGCCUUUAUGGCGAAGUCACUGAUACCACGCUUCCAGGAAAAGCUCCUAAGCUUCAGCUUACGCAGACCGUACCGUAAACCGACACAGGUGGGUAGGAUGAGAAUUCUCAGGCGCUUGAGAGAACUCGGGUGAAGGAACUAGGCAACAUGGCACCGUAACUUCGGGAGAAGGUGCACCCUUUUUGGUGGCUCGUGCGAGCUAUAGCUGAAGAGGGUCGCAGUAACCAGGCCGCUGCGACUGUUUAUCAAAAACACAGCACUCUGCAAACACGAAAGUGGACGUAUAGGGUGUGACGCCUGCCCGGUGCCGGAAGGUUAAUUGAUGGGGUUAGCGCAAGCGAAGCUCUUGAUCGAAGCCCCGGUAAACGGCGGCCGUAACUAUAACGGUCCUAAGGUAGCGAAAUUCCUUGUCGGGUAAGUUCCGACCUGCACGAAUGGCGUAACGACAGCGGCGCUGUCUCCACCCGAGACUCAGUGAAAUUGAAAUCGCUGUGAAGAUGCAGCGUUCCCGUGGCAAGACGGAAAGACCCCGUGAACCUUUACUAUAGCUUUACACUGAACGUUGAGUUCGUCUGUGUAGGAUAGGUGGGAGGCUAUGAAACUGUGGCGCUAGCUGCAGUGGAGCCAUCCUUGAAAUACCACCCUGUCGUGCUUGACGUUCUAACCUGGGCCCAUUAUCUGGGUCGGGGACCGUGUAUGGUGGGUAGUUUGACUGGGGCGGUCUCCUCCUAAAGAGUAACGGAGGAGCUCGAAGGUACGCUCAGCGCGGUCGGACAUCGCGCACUGUGUGCAAAGGCAUAAGCGUGCUUGACUGCAAGAUCGACGGAUCAAGCAGGUAGGAAACUAGGACUUAGUGAUCCGGUGGUUCUGUAUGGAAGGGCCAUCGCUCAACGGAUAAAAGGUACUCCGGGGAUAACAGGCUGAUA